GAAUUCGAUUCGGUGUGACAAGGCCCGGGAACGUAUUCACCGCGGCGUGCUGAUCCGCGAUUACUAGCGAUUCCAACUUCAUGCCGGCGAGUUGCAGCCGACGAUCCGAACUGAGACAGGCUUUAUCCGAUUAGCUCCACCUUGCGGUCUCGCGACGGUUUGUACCUGCCAUUGUAGCACGUGUGUGGCCCCAGACAUAAAGGCCAUGCUGACUUGACGUCAUCCCCACCUUCCUCCGGUUUGUCACCGGCAGUCUCUUCAGAGUGCCCAGCUUAACCUGAUGGCAACAGAAGACAAGGGUUGCGCUCGUUGCGGGACUUAACCCAACAUCUCACGACACGAGCUGACGACAGCCAUGCAGCACCUCUACAGAGGUCCUUGCGGAAGUCUACUUUCGUAGAGUGUCCUCUGCAGUUCAAGCCUGGGUAAGGUUCUUCGCGUUAAUCACUA
rnacentral:rRNA from 1 species